CUGGCGGCAGGCCUAACACAUGCAAGUCGAGCGCUCACUUCGGUGGGAGCGGCGGACGGGUUAGUAACGCGUGGGAAUAUGCCCGGUACUAAGGAAUAGCCUUUGGAAACGAAGAGUAAUACCUUAUACGCCCUUCGGGGGAAAGAUUUAUCGGUAUCGGAUUAGCCCGCGUAAGAUUAGAUAGUUGGUGGGGUAAUGGCCUACCAAGUCUACGAUCUUUAGCUGGUUUUAGAGGAUGAUCAGCAACACUGGGACUGAGACACGGCCCAGACUCCUACGGGAGGCAGCAGUGGGGAAUCUUAGACAAUGGGCGCAAGCCUGAUCUAGCCAUGCCGCGUGAGUGAAGAAGGCCUUAGGGUCGUAAAACUCUUUCGCCAGAGAUGAUAAUGACAGUAUCUGGUAAAGAAACCCCGGCUAACUCCGUGCCAACAGCCGCGGUAAUACGGAGGGGGUUAGCGUUGUUCGGAAUUACUGGGCGUAAAGCGCACGUAGGCGGACUGGAAAGUUGGGGGUGAAAUCCCGGGGCUCAACCUCGGAACUGCCUCUAAAACUAUCAGUCUAGAGUUCGAGAGAGGUGAGUGGAAUUCCAAGUGUAGAGGUGAAAUUCGUAGAUAUUUGGAGGAACACCAGUGGCGAAGG
rnacentral:rRNA from 1 species